rnacentral:tRNA from 1 species
GGGCCGGUAGCUCAGCCUGGAAGAGUAUCCGCUUGGCACGCGGGGGGUCGCGGGUUCGAAUCCCGCCCGGUCCA